UACGUAGGGGGCAAGCGUUGUUCGGAUUCAUUGGGCGUAAAGGGUGCGUAGGCGGCGCCGUAAGUCGGGUGUGAAAUUUCGGAGCUUAACUCCGAAACUGCAUUCGAUACUGCGGUGCUUGAGGACUGGAGAGGAGACUGGAAUUCAUGGUGUAGCAGUGAAAUGCGUAGAGAUCAUGAGGAAGACCAGUGGCGAAGGCGGGUCUCUGGACAGUUCCUGACGCUGAGGCACGAAGGCCAGGGGAGCAAACGGG
rnacentral:rRNA from 1 species